CCAGAGAUGGUCAGUGGCUACCAUGCUGGACAGCACGGCAAGGUGCACACAUGUUCUGAGGAAGCACAGUGCAGUAACGAAUAAUUCUCGCUGGGGUUCAGGAAAACUGAACAGAAUAGUGGACACUUGAGUCUGACCUACACUGCAAACAUCUCCUGUUUUCCCAGAUCGCAUGAUUAAUAACUAUCACUGAAUUCCCUGACAAAGUUCUGGGGACAAGAACACAUCUGAGCCAUUCACAGUAUGAAUCUGGUAAAACACUCCAGGGAUCUUCAAGAUAGAAUUGUUCAACAAUUUUUGGAUGCAGGGGAAUAUAAAUCUGUCUUUCAGAGAACUUGGCCUCAGCCAACACCUGGAUUAUGGCCUCAGAAGAGACCCUGAAGUGGAGGAGCCAUGUGAACUGAGCUGUGCCACAUUCCUGACCAACAGCAAUUUGAGAGACCAGAUCUUAUGCUCAUCAGUGAAGAGAGGGUGACUCUGAGAUGGAUUUUAUUGCAAAAAGUUUCAAACCUUUGGGAAUUGAACAGAUGGUGCUAACUGAUUUUACAUUUGGGAGAUCACCAGUCAGCCAUGCUCAGAAACAGCUUUCAGAAACAUCUGGAUUUAAACUUACAGCCCAAACAU